rnacentral:rRNA from 1 species
AAGACCUUGUGCUUUUGGAGCGGCCGAUGCCUGAUUAGCUUGUUGGUAAGGUAAAAGCUUACCAAGGCUUCGAUCAGUAGCUGGUCUGAGAGGACGACCAGCCACACUGGGACUGAGACACGGCCCAGACUCCUACGGGAGGCAGCAGUGGGGAAUUUUGGACAAUGGGGGCAACCCUGAUCCAGCCAUGCCGCGUGAGUGAAGAAGGCCUUCGGGUUGUAAAGCUCUUUCAGCCGGAACGAAACGGUUACGGAUAAUACCCGUGACUACUGACGGUACCGGAAGAAGAAGCACCGGCUAACCACGUGCCAGCAGCCGCGGUAAUACGUAGGGUGCAAGCGUUAAUCGGAAUUACUGGGCGUAAAGCGUGCGCAGGUGGUUUUGUAAGUCAGAUGUGAAAGCCCCGGGCUCAACCUGGGAACU